CGCAUAAAACUGAAAUAAAAAAAAUAUAUGAUAUAAAGCAGAAAGCAGGCUAUAGAGGGCUUCAGCUUAAAGAUGUUUCAAAGUGCAGAGCCGAUGGUUGUGAGCUGCGUACCUAUCAAUGCUACAUGGCUUCAAAAUGAUUUCACGAUGAUUUAUCUACAAUCAAUCCGCACGAACAGCGUAUUGAAAAAAAAUGUUGACCGACAUCGGUACUGCAUCAAUAAUCACACGUUGUAUCUCUCUGUAAAUCAUAAAGCUACACCAUGAUAUAUCUGGCUGGAAUUUUCGAUCAGCUGAAUUCGAACCUCCCUCUAAUUAAAAUAGUUUGAAAAUUGGGUCUAACUUUUAAGAAACUAUGUGAAUUGAAGCUUAAUGUAUUAGUGCAAAAAAACUUAUUUACUAUCUACUUUCGGAGUGAAUCCGUUAAUAGUACCUGCAGUUAACAUAAAUUAAUAAACUAAGGGUAAAGGCACGGCGUCGUUAAUAUAAUAACGUUUUGUGAGCACUGAAGAACAAUGUACAGUUUAAUAAAAUGUGCUGGUCCCCAAA